UCAGGGUANCUGAGAACCGAAGGUCSMAGGGGAAAUUCAUUCGCGUUUCGGCUGUUGGCAGGGGAUGGUCGUGUGACGGGAGGCGUACGCGUCGCCCGCGCCUUCCGUUCUCUGAUCCAGCUCCGAACGCGUGCAUUUUUCCCCUAGUAGGACGUCGCGAUCCGUUGGGUGCCGGUCUAAGGCMUGCGGUGGAGCCCGUUCGGACGGUUCGCCGUUCCGAGCGGACCCGUGGUGUUUCCCGGCCGGCUCGCUCGACGGUAUACAGAUGGCGCGGGGCCGCGACUCARUUCGCGUCCGGCCCGCGGCAAGCGCGUUCGGUGCGCCGGCGAUCGGACCUAGUGCCGUUCCUGACCCCGAACGACUGUUGGCCGCGGUGUUCUCGGACAGUCUCCKUUGAAACGCCGAUCUGCGACGCUAUAG
rnacentral:rRNA from 1 species